CUUCUCUCUCACUUUCGUGGAUGCAUACGGAACGAGAGGUUCGCGCGUGACAAGGAUAGUCUUCACCCUGUUCUCGCUUCAUGCAAGUACAAUUUCACAGAACUUGUGCGUCUGACACGAUCGAGAUCAUAGGAGUGUAUCACCGGAUUCGGUGAACGGGGCUCCCUUAUUCCCUCUUCAAAUGUGCCGUUCCCCCCUCUCUUUUUACCGUCAAGAGUCGAAGUACUGUGACUGUGACGUAUUAUUGCAAUUUAGGUGUAAAUCGUAUUGCCAUAUUCAUAUGUGUAUGGGCGGCGGUUCAGUAUAAUGACAAUGUUCGAAGAGGGCGGGUGGGAGGGGGAGUAAUACGAAACCCAAAGAAUUGUUUUGAGGAAAUAAACGGUUCCCGAGAUAUUUGCAAAAAACUGAUAGGGCCGUAUUCACAGUCGCAACUUAAGCAAAGACUUAAGACGUUCUUGACUAACAAUAAGAUCGUCUUAUUCGAAUAAGCAAUGCUUAAGUCGCUAUGUAUUCACAGUCGGCGAAUAAGACCGACUUAGUUAAGGAAGCGAUGCUUAAGCUUUGCUUAGUGAAGUCCAUGCUUAAGCCAAAGAGGAGGUAUAACAAGGGGCGACACUCCCGGCGGUACCUUUGAUGUCGACGAUUCGCUGUCCCUGGGUUGUAUCAACGAGCGGGAAGUUUGAAUGAAUUGGAUGUAAUACUUCCUUUUCAUAACAAUCUUUUACAACUAGAAACCUUUUUGCAUCGCUAAUUUUUCUGUAUAUUAUUAAUCGAAGUAUUAAAUAAUUAUUAUUAUUAUAAACAUAUUUGAACAUACAUUACACAAUUAUACAAUAGUAUGAGGGAAGGUUUCGGAUAAUAUAUUUCAAGACACUACAAUAUUUACAAAUUGAAUACAAUAUGCAGUUUCCUAUCUUUUCUAAUGCAAGUUUUAAAAUCCCUAUUGCUGUAUUUAAGUGUAUAAUAAAUUCUUAAUCUAAUAAAUAACUUUAAUAAAUAUUCUAGAGGAAAAUUGUCGCAAGGCUGAAUAAAACCAGUUACAUUUCUACAUAAAUGAUACAUAUUUUUACCUACAUGGGUGCGAGGUAAAAUAGAAUGUGCAUUUGAAAAAAAGAUGUUUUCUAAAGUAAAUAAAUAAUUGUAAAAGGA